UACCAAAACGAUAGCGCACAAGUAUUGGGAGGGAACGUCGAAGAGAACUGAGGUGAUCAGACUGAAAUAGAAGCUGAGAUCAUUUGCUUACCAUCAUUCAGAGCACUUUGUAGCAAUACGGAGGGAUAGGUUGCCUUUUGUAUAAUGAGCCUGGCAGUUGCGGUGUCAGUCUCGGCUAAGAUGACGUGAAGCCGUGGUGGAAGCGAGUCUGUAUAGGGCGCU
rnacentral:rRNA from 1 species